rnacentral:rRNA from 1 species
CAGCAGCCACGGUAAUACGUAGGGUGCAAGCGUUAAUCGGAAUUACUGGGCGUAAAGCGUGCGCAGGCGGUUAUAUAAGACAGAUGUGAAAUCCCCGGGCUCAACCUGGGAACUGCAUUUGUGACUGUAUAGCUAGAGUACGGCAGAGGGGGAUGGAAUUCCGCGUGUAGCAGUGAAAUGCGUAGAUAUGCGGAGGAACACCGAUGGCGAAGGCAAUCCCCUGGGCCUGUACUGACGCUCAUGCACGAAAGCGUGGGGAGCAAACAGGAUUAGAUACCCGGGUAGUCCCUGUCUCUUAUAA